GGAAUUUUUAGGAGGCAGGGGAUUUGGGGAGAUGUGAGGGGUCCUGGGGGAUUUUGGGGGGUUUGGGGGAUCCGGGUGAAUUUCGUUUGAUUUUGGGUGAAUUUUGGGUGAUUUUGGGUGAAUUUGGGUGGAUUUUGUUGAAUUUUGGGUGAAUUUUGGGUGAAUUUUGUGUGGAUUUCGGGUGAAUUUCGAUGGAUUUUGGGUGAAUUUUGGGCGAAUUUUGGGUGAAUUUUGGGUGAAUUUUGUUGGAUUUUGGGGUCACCCGGGGGUCCCCGUGCCCCUCCCCCAGCCCCGCAAGCCCCGCAGCGCCCCCUGCUGGACAACUACGACUGCAAGUGAGUGGGGGAGGGGCGGGAGGGGGCGGGGCCAGAGGGGGGCGGGGCCGGACCCGUCUGACCCCUCCCCCUCCCCUCCCCCCCCCCAGGCCGCCCCCCGGCGCCUCUCCCCCCCCCCGUUCAUCCUGCUGAAGCCGCGAUGUGAGUGACCUCUGACCCCCGAGUGACCUCUGACCCCCGAGUGACCAAUGAGUGACCACUGACCCCUCCCCCACCCUCCGUUUGCCCCUCCCCCAUUCUGCCCCUCCCCAUUUCCCAUUUCGCCCCUCCCCCUUUUCAUCUCUGGCCCCUCCCCCCUCCGCAGGUGCCCCUCCCCCACACACCCCGCAGCCGCCCUGGGCGGAGCCUCGGACACUGGGCCCCCCCCAGGCCCCCCCGAGCCGCCGCGUCUCGGCCGAACCCGACUCCGGUGAGUGACCCCUGAGUGACCUCUGACCCCUGAGUGACCCAAAUGAGUGACCUCAAUGAGUGACCUCUGUGUGACCUUUGACCCCCCAGACCCCCCCGAGGACGGCGAUUACACCAACGAACCUUUCGCCAGCGGCUACGUGACGGUGCUGCCGGACCCGACCCCUCCCAGUGACGUCAUCGAUGAUGUCACGGCCGACCCCGGUGACGUCAUCGGGGCGGGGGAGGGGCCGGAGGAGGGGGAGGGGGAGGAGCCGUACGAGAACAUCCCCGAGGGAGAGGGCGGCAACUCCCGGGUGCCCAGCCUGGAGUACAUCAACGUGCCGGGAACCGAGGCGAGCGAGAGCGACGAAGGCGCCGACUACGAGAACCUCUGAGCCCCUCCCCCCACCCCCGUUAUUUAUUGGCUGCCGACGAAUCCUGAGAAGGGCCCCGCCCACACUCCGACAAGCCCCGCCCCCUUUUCUACGAGCCCUCCCCCCACUCUCAUUUGCCCCUCCCCCACCCCAAUAAAGGCACUUUUGAGGUCACUUCCGGUGGGGAGGGGUUUGUUGGGGUGGGGGAGGGGCGGGGCUGAACCCC
rnacentral:lncRNA from 1 species